rnacentral:lncRNA from 1 species
GCCUUCUUUGUGUUUCUGCUUGCUGUCCAGUGUUGUACAAAGGAGAUCUUGCCAUGUCCCCAGUUUCUCCAUCGCCUCCUUGCAUGCAGCAGCACACUUCUUUAUUUGCAUUAUUCAGUAGCUCUUCAUUCUUCUCUUUCCACUCUUGCUCAUGCUUUUCCAGAAUUUUGUGAACUGUCCUUCUGUAGGCCUUUUGUAAGCAUGCCUUCAGUUUGUCCUUGCGCUGAUGAUUUAAUUCAACAGGAGCAUCAGGAUCUUUCUCCUCCCAAGAAUGCUGACUAUAGGUGCUUUUAACUAGCUCUUCGUGGACUUCUCUCAACAAACACUCAAGCUCAAUCAGAGUCUUCUCCUCGUACCGAUUAAUUUCAUCCUGAAGUCUCUUUGUUUCCUGAGCCUCCCACUCUCGCUGCUUUUGGUCUAGUAUCAUCUUCAUUUCUGCCUCCUUCUGAGCAGAAAGAUCAUUCACCUGCUUUGCAAGAUCCUCCUUUGUUGUUGCAAGUACCUCUUUAAUCUUGUUUCUGUGGUCAUCUAAGAACGAUCUGUAGUCUCUCUCAUUUUGCUCUUGUAUUUGUGCAAUUUCUUCUUGCUUUUCUUUGUUCCACUGAGCACGGGCUUUUGCUACUGCUGCUUUGAUAGUCACAGGGAUUUCUUCUUCCUUUAGCUCCAACUCUUUCUUGAGAGAAACUACUUUUUCCUCAAGUUCUCGAAUUAUCGAUCCGGACUGCUCUGUACACUCACGUUC